rnacentral:rRNA from 1 species
UACGUAGGCAGCGAGCGUUGUUCGGAGUUACUGGGCGUAAAGGGUGUGUAGGCGGUUGUUUAAGUUUGGUGUGAAAUCUCCCGGCUCAACUGGGAGGGUGCGCCGAAUACUGAAUGACUAGAGUGCGGGAGAGGAAAGUGGAAUUCCUGGUGUAGCGGUGAAAUGCGUAGAUAUCAGGAGGAACACCGGUGGUGUAGGCGGCUUUCUGGACGGUAACUGACGCUGAGACGCGAAAGCGUGGGGAGCAAACAGG